GACGAACGCUGGCGGCGUGCUUAACACAUGCAAGUCGAACGGAAAGGCCCCUUUGGGGGUACUCGAGUGGCGAACGGGUGAGUAACACGUGAGUAACCUGCCCUUGACUUCGGGAUAACUUCAGGAAACUGGGGCUAAUACCGGAUAGGAAUCCUUGCUGCAUGGUGGGGGUUGGAAAGCUUCGGCGGUUUUGGAUGGACUCGCGGCUUAUCAGCUUGUUGGUGGGGUAGUGGCUUACCAAGGCUUUGACGGGUAGCCGGCCUGAGAGGGCGACCGGCCACAUUGGGACUGAGAUACGGCCCAGACUCCUACGGGAGGCAGCAGUGGGGAAUAUCGCACAAUGGGCGGAAGCCUGAUGCAGCAACGCCGCGUGCGGGAUGACGGCCUUCGGGUUGUAAACCGCUUUCAGCAGGGGCGAAGCUUGUGGUGACGGUACCUGCAGAAGAAGCACCGGCUAACUACGUG
rnacentral:rRNA from 1 species